AGGGACAUAGCUCAGGGGUAGAGCACAUGCUUGGCGUGCACCAGGUGCCUGGAUUCAAUUCCCAGUAUCUCCU
rnacentral:tRNA from 1 species